rnacentral:misc_RNA from 1 species
CAACUACUUAGAAGUAAAUAUCUUAUACUUACACAGAGUGCCUAGUGAAAAUAUGAACAAUACAAAACAUAUAAAUAUACGUUAUCACACAUCAUCAACUGACAGCCAAAAGAUCAUCCUCUCUUGCCCUCCAACACUUGAUUUAGACUAGUGCCAGUAAUCGUGGUUGUAGUUGUGGUCAUGGUCAUGGUCCUCAGAAUAGCUCAUGUAACGACUACUUGUCCGAGCCUUAUCAGCCCUGUUAAUGAUAUUUUGGAGGUCUGCAGUUCCAUUUUCUGCAAUGUACU